rnacentral:rRNA from 1 species
UACGUAGGGUGCGAGCGUUGUUCGGAAUUACUGGGCGUAAAGCGCACGUAGGCGGCUUUGUAAGUUAGAGGUGAAAGCCCGGAGCUCAACUCCGGAAUUGCCUUUAAGACUGCAUCGCUCGAAUCAUGGAGAGGUGAGUGGAAUUCCGAGUGUAGAGGUGAAAUUCGUAGAUAUUCGGAAGAACACCAGUGGCGAAGGCGACUCACUGGACAUGUAUUGACGCUGAGGUACGAAAGCGUGGGGAGCAAACAGG